AUUUCAUAUCAGGGGUGCCAAUGAUGGCUGAGAAUAUACCCUUUGAACCUGACCCGGAUAAUGCCGGCGUAGGGAAUGGCAGCAAUGCAAAUUA
rnacentral:ncRNA from 2 species